rnacentral:tRNA from 1 species
GAGGGUAUGGCUCAGUAGUAGAGCACGUGCCUAGUGUGCACAAGGUCCUGGGUUCAAUCCCCAGUACCCCCA